CUCGUGACAGCUGCUACAAACUUUCCACUCCCACAAACCAGCGAAGCCUCCCUCCGUACUUUCGUCUUCCUUGGUUCCAUCCGUUCCCCAAGCUUGUUCCUCGUGCUCCUGCUCGUUGCCUGCCUCGCGUUCUCCUCUUUCACUCCCGCCCUUUCGCCCCUCUUCGUCCCAAUCAGCUCCCGCAGGCGACGCAGUUUCAGGUUCGGCUCCCUGUGCUGGCAUUGUUUCCGGCUGACCCAUCCUGGCCGCCUGCAUCCACAUACCCAGGAAAGGGACAAAGGUUGGUCCCCCCCACGCAGCCUAAUCCUCAGGACUGCAGCAAACUACGCAGCCUUGAAAUACCUGCCACUAAAGACUAGCCUGUGGGGUUGAAACAGACCAAAAAAAAACACAGAACAGGUGUGGUUCCCUCACGAUCACCAGCAAUGCUCGCCUGGCUACUGCUGCAGAGAAUGAAGCUCCACCAGUGAACACAACAGCUGAGCCUUCCCUCACCAUUCAGCAAUCAGCAUGCAUAUGGUGUAGCUCCACAGCAGCUCAGUGCCGGCAUAGAAGACCAGCAGCAAACAAUCAGACAACAUGAAUUAUCCUUAAACCUACCUAUUGGGAGCAUCUUCCACAAUCCUUCUGAAACAAUCCCAGCAGUGGAAAUAUCAUUUGACAUGAAUGCUGAAAGCAGCUUUCAGAUUCCCUCUUUUGAGCUAACCAUUCCAUUACUGGGCGCUGCUUUUUCCAUGAUGGUACAAUUCCCAUUUGACGACAAACCCAUGGAGCAACUUUAUGUCUUCAGGGCUUUUGUUGUGGCCACAGUUGCUUUGGCUAUGUGGAGAAGAACGCUAGAAUUUAUCUUCGUUUACUGUGGUCUCAAACUGCCUCCUCUACCAGUGUGGGUACGGGCUCUACAAACCUACAGAACCCCGCGUCUUUCUCCCCGCUUGUGCCCACUUCAGUGGCUGUGCUUUAGCCUUACUAGAAACAUAAAACUCUGCUUCACACCAGGCACACUCAUAUGGACAAUUACCUUCAUCAUUUGGUUACCUGAGUCAAAACCAAGUAUGUGGUCCAGAGCAUCCGCAACUUUAAUGCUGCAGAUGCUUGCUCCUUUCCUCCUGACAGUGGCAGGCAUAAUUGCAGUUGUAAGCGAAGUUGUAAGCUUGCAUGUGACUACUGUCUAAUAACUUUAUGCCUGUGCCUUCGACGGUGCA